UUGAGCCGUGUGAUGGGAAACUAUCACGCCCGGUUCUUUGGGGGGAAUGGGACCGCAAGGUCCCUGCCCCACCCGGU
rnacentral:ncRNA from 1 species